rnacentral:lncRNA from 1 species
GAGACUGGGGUCUCUGGAUUACUCUCCCACGUUCAAGUCAGUGUGAUAUUCGUUGUAAUAAGAGCGUGUAUGUAAAGUGCAAGUAAAUUAGAGGGGGAGUAAGUGAAUAUGUAUAGAGAGAGGAGAAGGAGAAGAUCCGGUUAGGCCCAGUGCAUGGUAAUGUUCGGAGGUCGUAGUUCGAAGAGGCUUGACCGGACGGAGGGCUUAGUCCAUGCAUGUAGAUUUGGUUCGACGACUUGGGCGUUGCCUCGUCAGUAAAAGAUAUAUGUGCAUCAAUAUUUGGACACCAAAUUUGUUUUUUUU